UUCGUUCUGAUAUGGAGUGGUUGGUGUAUUGUAGAGUUCUAGGGAUUGUAUUUCACUCAAAACCCACCAAAUGACUCCUCCCAAAAUAUUAUGAUGUUCCCCAAGUUUUGGACUCAAUCCGAUAUCGAUUGGUCCUUGAAAUCGGACAAUUCAGGUUCGUACGAAGUUCGUUCUGAAAUGGGGUGGUUGGCGUAUUGUAUAAUUCUAGAGAUAGGAUUUCAUUCAAAACCCACCAAAUGACUCCUCCCAAAAUGUUAUGUUGAUCCCCAAGUUUUGGACUCAAUCCGAUAUCGAUUGAUCCUUGAAAUCGGACAAUUCAAGUUCCUACGAAGUUCGUUCUGAAAUGGGGUGGUUGGGGUAUUGUAUAGUUCUAGGGAUUGAAUUUCACUAAAAAACCCGCCAAAUGACUCCUUCUCACAAUAUUAUGAUUGUUCCCCAAGUUUCGGACAAGUCCGAUAUCAAUUGGGGCUUGAUUUUGAAUAUAAAGGUUCGUACGAAUUUUUUCUGAAUGUACCGGUUGAUGUUUUAGUUAAAAAAAAAAAAAAGGANNNNNNNNNNNNNNNNNNNNNNNNNNNNNNNNNNNNNNNNNNNNNNNNNNNNNNNNNNNNNNNNNNNNNNNNNNNNNNNNNNNNNNNNNNNNNNNNNNNNAGGGAUUGGAUUUCACUCAAAACCCACCAAAUGACUCCUCCCACAAUAUUAUGAUGAUCCCCAAGUUUUGGACUCAAUCCGAUAUCGAUUGGUCCUUGAAAUCGGACAAUUCAGGUUCGUACGAAGUUCGUUCAGAAAUGGGGUGGUUGGUGUAUUGUAUAGUUCUAGAGAUUGGAUUUCACUCAAAACCCACCAAAUGACUCCUCCCACAAUAUUAUGAUGUUCCCCAAGUUCUGGACUCAAUCCGAUAUCGAUUGGUCCUUGAAAAAGGGCAAUUCAAGUUCGUACAAAGUUCGUUCUGAAAUGGAGUGGUUGGUGUAUUGUAUAGUUCUAGAGAUUGGAUUUCACUCAAAACCCACCAAAUGACUCCUUCGUCAAUAUUAUGAUGUUCCCCAAGUUUUGGACUCAAUCCGAUAUCGAUUGGUCCUUGAAAUCGGACAAUUCAGGUUCCUACGAAGUUCGUUCUGAAAUGGGGUGGUUGGCGUAUUGUAUAAUUCUAGAGAUAGGAUUUCACUCAAAACCUGCCAAAUGACUCCUCCCAGAAUGUUAUGUUGUUCCCCAAGUUUUGGACUCAAUCCGAUAUCGAUUGAUCCUUGAAAUCGGACAAUUCAAGUUCCUACGAAGUUCGUUCUGAAAUGGGGUGGUUGGUGUAUUGUAUAGUUCUAGGGAUUGGAUUUCACUAAAAACCCACCAAAUGACUCCUUCCACAAUAUUAUGAUGUUCCCCAAGUUUUAGACAAAGUCCGAUAUCGAUUGGGGCUUGAAAUUAGAAAAUAAAGGUUCGUACGAAGUUCUUUCUGAAAUGGAGUGGUUGGUGUUUUGUAUAGUUGUAGGGAUUGGAUUUCACUCAAAACCAACCAAAUGACUCCUCCCACAAUAUUAUGAUGAUCCCCAAGUUUUGGACUCAAUCCGAUAUCGAUUGGUCCUUGAAAUCGGACAAUUCAGGUUCGUACGAAGUUCGUUCUGAAAUGGGGUGGUUGGUGUAUUGUAUAGUUCAAGAGAUUGGAUUUCACUCAAAACCCAACAAAUGACUCCUCCCACAAUAUUAUGAUGUUCCCCAAGUUUUGGACUCAGUCCGAUCUCGAUUGGGGCUUGAAAUUGGACAGUACAGGUUCGUACGAAGUUCGUUCUGAAAUGGAGUGGUUGGUGUUUUGUAUAGUUCUAGGGAUUGGAUUUCACUCAAAACGCACCAAAUGACUCCUCCCCGAAUAUUAUGAUGUUCCCCAAGUUUUGGACUCAAUGCGAUACUGAUUGGUCCUUGAAAUCGAACAAUUCAGGUUCGUACGAAAUUCGUUCAUAAAUGGGGUGGUUGGUGUAUUAUAUAGUUCUAUAGAUUGGAUUUCUCUCAAAACCCACCAAAUGACUCCUCCCACAAUAUUAUGAUGUUCCCCAAGUUUUGGACUCAAUCCGAUAUCGAUUUGUACUUGAAAUCGGACAAUUCAGGUUCGUACGAAGUUCGUUCUGAAUUUGGGUGGUUGGUGUAUUGUAUAGUUCUAGAGAUUGAAAUUUCACUCAAAAACCCACCAAAAUGACUCCUCCCAGAAUAUUAUGAUGUUCCCCAGGUUUUGGACUCAAUCCGAUAUCGAUGUUCCACGAAAUUUGACAAUUCAGGUUCGUACGAAGUUUGUUCUGAAAUGGAGUGGUUGGUGUAUUGUAUAGUUCUAGGGAUUGUAUUUCACUCAAAACUUUCCAAAUGACCCCUCCCACAAUAUUAUGUUGUUCCCCAAGUUUUGGACUCAAUCCGAUAUCGAUUGGUCAAUGAAAUCGGGCAAUUCAAGUUCGUACGAAGUUCGUUCUGAAAUGGUGUGGUUAGUGUUCUAGGGACUGUAUUGCACUCAAAACCCACCAAAUGACUCCUCCCACAAUAUUAUGUUGUUCCCCAAGUUUUGGACUCAAUCCAAUAUCGAUUGGUCCUUGAAUCGGACAAUUCUGGUUCGUACGACGUUCGUUCUGAAAUGGGGUGGUUGGAGAAUUGUAUAGUUCUAGAGAUUGGAUUUCACUCAAAAGCCACCAAAUGACUCCUCCCAGAAUAUUAUGAUGUUCCCCAAGUUUUGGACUCAAUCCAAUAUCGAUCGGUCCACGAAAUUCGACAAUUCAGGUUCGUACGAAGUUUAUUCUGAAAUGGAGUGGUUAUUGUAUUGUAUAGUUCUAGGGAUUGUAUUUCACUCAAAACUUACCAAUGGUCCCACAAUAUUAUGAUGUUCCCCAAGUUUUGGACUCAAUCUGAUGUCGAUCGAUCCACGAAAUUUGACAAUUCAGGUUCGUACGAAGUUCGUUCUGAAAUGGAGUGGUUGGUGUAUUGUAUAGUUCUAGGGGUUGUAUUUCACUCAAAACCCACCAAAUGCCUCCUCCCACAAUAUUAUGUUGUUCCCCAAGUUUUGGACUCAAUCCGAUAUCGAAUGGUCAAUGAAAACGGGCAAUUCAAGUUCGUACAAACUUCGUUCUGAAAUGGGGUGGUUGGUGUAUUGUAUAGUUCUAGAGAUUGGAUUUCACUCAAAACCCACCAAAUGACUCCUCCCAGAAUAUUAUGAUGUUCCCCAAGUUUUGGACUCAAUGCGAUACUGAUUGGUCCUUGAAAUCGGACAAUUCAGGUUCGUACGAAAUUCGUUCAUAAACAGGGUGGUUGGUGUAUUGUAUAGUUCUAUAGAUUGGAUUUCUCUCAAAACCCACCAAAUGACUCCUCCCACAAUAUUAUGAUGUUCCCCAAGUUUUGGACUCAAUCUGAUAUUGAUUGGUACUUGAAAUCGGACAAUUCAGGUUCGUACGAAGUUCGUUCUGAAUUUGGGUGGUUGGUGUAUUUUAUGGUUUUAGAGAUUGAAUUUCUCUCAAAACCCACCAAAUGACUCCUCCCACAAUAUUAUGAUGUUCCGUAAGUUUUGGACUGAAUCCGAUAUCGAUCGGUCCACGAAAUUUGACAAUUCAGGUUCGUACGAAGUUUGUUCUGAAAUGGAGUGGUUGGUGUAUUGUAUAGUUCUAGGGAUUGUAUUUCACUCAUAACUUACAAAAUGACCCCUCCCACAAUAUUAUGUUGUUCCCCAUGUUUUGGACUCAAUCCGAUAUCGAUUGGUCAAUGAAAUCGGGCAAUUCAAGUUCGUACGAAGUUCGUUCUGAAAUGGUGUGGUUAGUGUUCUAGGGAUUGUAUUGCACUCAAAACNNNNNNNNNNNNNNNNNNNNNNNNNNNNNNNNNNNNNNNNNNNNNNNNNNNNNNNNNNNNNNNNNNNNNNNNNNNNNNNNNNNNNNNNNNNNNNNNNNNNGGUCCUUGAAAUCGGACAAUUCUGGUUCGUACGAAGUUCGUUCUGAAAUGGGGUGGUUGGUGAAUUGUAUAGUUCUAGAGGUUGGAUUUCACUCAAAAGCCACCAAAUGACUCCUCCCAGAAUAUUAUGAUGUUCCCCAAGUUUUGGACUCAAUCCGAUAUCGAUCAGUCCACGAAAUUCGACAAUUCAGGUUCGUACGAAAUUCGUUCAUAAACAGGGUGGUUGGUGUAUUGUAUAGUUCUAUAGAUUGGAUUUCUCUCAAAACCCACCAAAUGACUCCUCCCACAAUAUUAUGAUGUUCCCCAAGUUUUGGACUCAAUCUGAUGUCGAUCGAUCCACGAAAUUUGACAAUUCAGGUUCGUACGAAGUUCGUUCUGAAAUGGAGUGGUUGGUGUAUUGUAUAGUUCUAGCGGUUGUAUUUCACUCAAAACCCACUAAAUGCCUCCUCCCACAAUAUUAUGUUGUUCCCCAAGUUUUGGACUCAAUCCGAUAUCGAAUGGUCAAUGAAAACGGGCAAUUCAAGUUCGUACAAACUUCGUUCUGAAAUGGGGUGGUUGGUGUAUUGUAUAGUUCUAGAGAUUGGAUUUCACUCAAAACCCACCAAAUGACUCCUCCCAGAAUAUUAUGAUGUUCCCCAAGUUUUGGACUCAAUGCGAUCCUGAUUGGUCCUUGAAAUCGGACAAUUCAGGUUCGUACGAAAUUCGUUCAUAAACAGGGUGGUUGGUGUAUUGUAUAGUUCUAUAGAUUGGAUUUCUCUCAAAACCCACCAAAUGACUUCUCCCACAAUAUUAUGAUGUUCCCCAAGUUUUGGACUCAAUCCGAUAUCGAUUGGUACUUGAAAUCGGACAAUUCAUGUUCGUACGAAGUUCGUUCUGAAUUUGGGUGGUUGGUGUAUUUUACGGUUUUAGAUAUUGAAUUUCACUCAAAACCCACCAAAUGACUCCUCCCACAAUAUUAUGAUGUUCCCCAAGUUUUGGACUCAAUCCGAUAUCGAUCGGUCCACGAAAUUUGACAAUUCAGGUUCGUACGAAGUUUAUUCUGAAAUGGAGUGGUUAGUGUAUUGUAUAGUUCUAGGGAUUGUAUUUCACUCAUAACUUACAAAAUGACCCCUCCCACAAUAUUAUGUUGUUCCCCAAGUUUUGUACUCAAUCCGAUAUCGAUUGGUCAAUGAAAUCGGGCAAUUCAAGUUCGUACGAAGUUCGUUCUGAAAUGGUGUGGUUAGUGUUCUAGGGAUUGUAUUUCACUCUAAACCCACCAAAUGACUCCUCCCAAAAUAUUAUGAUGUUCCCCCAGUUUUGAACUCAAUCCGAUAUCGAUUGGUCCUUGAAAUCGGACAAUUCAGGUUCGUACGAAGUUCGUUCUGAAAUGGGGUGGUUGGUGUAUUGUAUAGUUUUAGAGAUUGGAUUUCACUCAAAACCAACCAAAUGACUCCUCCCAGAAUAUUAUGAUGUUCCCCAAGUUUUGGACUCAAUCCGAUAUCGAUCGGUCCACGAAAUUUGACAAUUCUUGUUCGUACGAAGUUUAUUCUGAAAUGGAGUGGUUGGUGUAUUGUAUAGUUCUAGGGAUUGUAUUUCACUCAAAACUUACCAAAUGACCCCUCCCACAAUAUUAUGAUGUUCCCCAAGUUUUGGACUCAAUCUGAUAUCGAUUGGUCCUUGAAAUCGGACAAUUCAGGUUCGUACGAUGUUCGUUCUAAAAGGGGGUGGUUGGUGUAUUGUAUAGUUCUUGACAUUGGAUUUCACUGAAAACCUACCGAAUGGCUCCUCCCACAAUAUUAUGAUGUUCCCCAAGUUUUGGACUAAAUCCGAUGUCGAUCGAUCCACGAAAUUUGACAAUUCAGGUUCGUACGAAGUUCGUUCUGAAAUGGAGUAGUUGGUGUAUUGUAUAGUUCUAGGGGUUGUAUUUCACUCAAAACCCACCAAAUGCCUCCUCCCACAAUAUUAUGUUGUUCCCCAAGUUUUGGACUGAAUCCGAUAUCGAAUGGUCAAUGAAAACGGGCAAUUUAAGUUCGUACAAAGUUCGUUCUGAAAUGGGGUGGUUGGUGUAUUGUAUAGUUCUAGGGAUUUUAUUUUACUCAAAACCCACCAAAUGCCUCCUCCCACAAUAUUGUGAUGUUCCCCAAGUUUUGGACUCAAUCCGAUAUCGAUCGGUCCACGAAAUUUGACAAUUCAGGUUCGUACGAAGUUUGUUCUGAAAUGGAGUGGUUGGUGUAUUGUACAGUUCUAGGGAUUGUAUUUCACUCAAAACUUACCAAAUGACCCCUCCCACAAU
rnacentral:lncRNA from 1 species